CUAUCACUUUCCCAGGUCCUCCCCCAGUCAGUGGAGCCAGGAUUUGGUAAGUGGUGCUGGAAAAAAACCUUUAUUGCAUUGUUGCCCUGGGAGUGUGCGGAUAGCAGCUGUCACUCAAUGACACAGAG
ensembl:snoRNA